rnacentral:rRNA from 1 species
CAAGGCGACGAUCAGUAGCGGGUCUGAGAGGAUGAUCCGCCACACUGGGACUGAGACACGGCCCAGACUCCUACGGGAGGCAGCAGUGGGGAAUUUUGGACAAUGGGGGCAACCCUGAUCCAGCCAUUCCGCGUGAGUGAAGAAGGCCUUCGGGUUGUAAAGCUCUUUCAGCCGGAGCGAAACGGURCGGKYUAAUACCCUGUGCUAAUGACGGUACCGGCAGAAGAAGCACCGGCUAACUACGUGCCAGCAGCCGCGGUAAUACGUAGGGUGCGAGCGUUAAUCGGAAUUACUGGGCGUAAAGCGUGCGCAGGCGGAUURUUAAGCAAGACGUGAAAKCCCCGGGCUUAACCUGGGAAUGGCGUUUUGAACUGGUAGUCUAGAGUGCGUCAGAGGGGGGUGGAAUUCCACGUGUAGCAGUGAAAUGCGUAGAGAUGUGGAGGAACACCGAUGGCGAAGGCAGCCCCCUGGGAUGACACUGACGCUCAUGUACGAAAGCGUGGGUAGCAAACAGGAUUAGAUACCCUGGUAGUCCACGCCCUAAACGAUGUCAACUGGUUGUUGGGGGAG